GUCCCUGUCGUCUAGCGGUCUAGGACGCUCUCUUUCGGGUGAGAAACGGUGGUUCAAAUCCAUCUAGGGACACCA
rnacentral:tRNA from 1 species